rnacentral:rRNA from 1 species
UACAGAGGGUGCGAGCGUUAAUCGGAAUCACUGGGCUUAAAGGGCGCGUAGGCGGGUUCUCAAGUCCGGGGUGAAAUCCCACAGCUCAACUGUGGAACUGCCUCGGAUACUGGGUGCCUCGAGGGUGGUAGGGGUAUGCGGAACUAUCGGUGGAGCGGUGAAAUGCGUUGAUAUCGAUAGGAACUCCGGUGGCGAAGGCGGCAUACUGGACCACAUCUGACGCUGAGGCGCGAAAGCCAGGGGAGCGAACGGG